GUGGGGAAUCUUGCGCAAUGGGCGAAAGCCUGACGCAGCCAUGCCGCGUGAAUGAUGAAGGUCUUAGGAUUGUAAAAUUCUUUCACCGGGGACGAUAAUGACGGUACCCGGAGAAGAAGCCCCGGCUAACUUCGUGCCAGCAGCCGCGGUAAUACGAAGGGGGCUAGCGUUGCUCGGAAUUCCUGGGCGUAAAGGGCGCGUAGGCGGACAGUUUAGUCAGAGGUGAAAGCCCAGGGCUCAACCUUGGAAUUGCCUUUGAUACUGGCUGUCUUGAGUACGGGAGAGGUGAGUGGAACUCCGAGUGUAGAGGUGAAAUUCGUAGAUAUUCGGAAGAACACCAGUGGCGAAGGCGACUCACUGGCCCGUUACUGACGCUGAGGCGCGAAAGCGUGGGGAGCAAACAGGAUUAGAAACCCGGGUAGUCC
rnacentral:rRNA from 1 species